rnacentral:lncRNA from 1 species
AACCAAGUUCAAAAGUGCCGUUUUGAGAUAUUAGGGUCUCGCUUGCAGAGAGAGAUUGGCCAACCAAAAGGGUAUCACCUACAAUGGAGAAGCAAGUCCUAUGGGAAACGAAUAGCAACAACAGCACAAAGAGCAAAAAACGUGGCUUUGUCUCAACACACAUCCUUUCUAAUUCGUGGGAUUAAGGGUGAAAGAGCUGUGACUGAGC